AGAAAGGUAUGUAGAGAAUCAAAUUCAGUCUCCUCGGGGUUAUCGCAGUAUAAUUUUAUUCAUUUUUAUACUGGAUAUGGAUUGUAUUUAUGACUUCUAAACAGGCACAACUUGUGGGAACGAGAAGGGCGAGACUUUACCCGCGGGAUCGAGGGAGAUUUCAAGCAACCCUGCCCAAAAUGAAAUUCAGGGCAGCAGUGAGUAAAAUCUGAGUGAUUGAUUCAAUCAGAGACAAUUUAGGAUAACUGAUUGCAAAAAAAAAACCGAUAUGCAUCCCAUUUUUAAAACAAAGCUCCUGUAGGUUAAAUCAUCCUGGGUGGCAAACGGCGGGACAGUGAAACGGGCUGCGGUUACAAUGCGAGAGAUUCAGUCUGAACCCCGGGGCCAACCGGAGAAGCAGUUUUCGCCGCACUUAUAAUUUCCCACCGCUGCAGUGUUUCUAGCGAGUCAGUGAACUCGGGGUUAUUUACUGAAGACCAAAUCGUGUUCUGCAGAUUCCCAGUGUUGUGUCUCGAAUCCUCUGCCUCUUUACCUUGCGACAGCUCGAAUA